UCGAAAUAUUGGGUGAAAAGAAUUAUUCGGGGGUGGGAUCAGCAAAUUUAGGGGCGCAAAUAGAAUUCCACGAAUACUUGAUCUAGUCUCUGGACUCUGGAGCCUCCCCGCACUUCUGAAAAGAAAGAGCAAGCCUCUCGACACUUGCAUUUUCAGUCCAACCCAUUAGAGCCCUCUCUGCUGUGCGCCCUCCAUCUUCAUCUUUCAUUUUCAGUCCCAGCUCCCUCCUUUCAGUCUCUUGCUCGGUAAGUGUAUGCUGUAAUUUUUGUUUUUAAUUCCUAUUGUAUUUAUGGGUUUCCUGAAUAAUCAAAUAUUGUCUGUUUCCAAAGGAAAAAAGAAGAAUUGAAAAUUGUUUGAUUAUAAUUUGAAAAUCAGCAAGCAUGUUUUUAUUUUUGUUUCAUUAUUAGUAUUGAUUGGAAAAUUGGCCGCCACCAACUUCCUCUUGCCCCAUUCACCCAUCGAGCAGUGAAAUUUUUAAGUAUUAUUUGGUAUAUAUGCUUUUGUAUCUGGUUUUUAUGUUUUUGGUUCUUGUGUUUGAUUUGUAAGGAUUGAUUUUUUAGUGUGUUUUUGGUUAGUGAUUAUCACACAUUUGCAAUUAUUUGUUUGGGUUAAAUCUGCUGCCCAAACCAAUCAAACUGCCCAAAAGGGAUUGUGUUUAUAGGUUCAAGUGUGCGGUCGGGGCUCGAACCAAACUAAUGCGUUCCUUGCCCACCCAUUGAUUAUGGGAUGUAGCUUAUUUUUGGUUGCUAGAUGUCCAACACUCCUUUCUUUUGAUACUUGAAAAUGUAACAGUAGGAUUUGGAUUGUUUAGAUGUCUUCCUCUUUUUCUUUUCCUUUUGGUUUAUAAAGAACAAAACAAAGUCUGCUUAUCUGAAAACAAAAUUAUUUCACUGGGUGGCAGUAAGAAUCAAGUGAAAGGUCAUCUGUACGAUGAUUGGAUGAUCAAUUCAGAUCAUUCUUAAAAGUGCUUAUUUGUCUAAGAGGUACUUUGUGUCAUUACUGAUAUUUAUAUUUGAAAGCUGUAUACUUUGUUUUUAUGAAAAAACUGCAAGGGGCAUAUUUAAGAUGUGCAGAAACCAUUAUCCAAAGAUAAUGUGUCAUGCCCUCUUUCGAAUAACAGUGACAAAUGUUUUUGCAUUAUAAUUUUCUCAAAUUUCGAUGUGUAAAUUAAUUAUGUAAUAAUUGAAAAAUAUUCUCAGAUAGAAAUGAUUUCUUAAUCAUAUCUUGCAACUUGAGUAUCUGCAACUCCAUAGCUGUGUCCUCUUCUUCAACUUCAAUGUGUAGAUUUUGUUUAUAAGGUUGGACAGUUAUAAUUGCCAACUUAGUAGCAGCAUAAGCUUAGCUAAGAUGUCUUUCGUCUUUUUAACUCUGCCUAUAAUAGAGCAGGUUUUCUCUUUGUUGUCGAUCGAGGAUAACUUAUCCUCUUGAUUAUUAAUACAAAAGUUUGUAUUAAAAAAAAAAUAUAGUAGCAGCAAAACCUAAAUAAAAAUCAACCUUCUUGGCCACUUACUGAAAUGAUGAGGUGAUUCUUUACCACAGAGAAUAACUUAUAAUUUUAAUUCUAAGUUUGAACCAUACUGCACCUAUACUUCAAACUUUUUCCAGUGGAGGUAUCAAAUAUAGAUACGGAUAUGAUAAUACAUGCUGGGAAAUGAAGUAUUGUUAACUUUUCUAUUUUGCUGGAUACGGUGUCGAUACAGAACUGAUACUCACAGGAAACUGUCCCAAUACGGUCAAGAUACGGCUAGUGGUUAUUUAGAAAUUGUUUGAAAAUUUAUGUGGUAUUUUUUAAUAUUAUAACAAAUAUGGGGUCGAAAUGUGAAUUUUAAAACUUGGCCAGAUCACACCCAGCCUAUUUUUCUCAACAGAAAGAGGAAAAGCUAGGUUUUCACAUUUGAAAAGAAACUGUGGCACCAACCAAUUCAAAGAUCCAGAAGGAAGAAGGAAGAAGAAAGAAAUUUCAAAAGGACCUCUUCUUCUCCACUGAAAGUUCUGCUUCUGCAUCUGCUACACCAGGUCUUAGCCCACGUUAACUUGUUGCUCCUUCACUUACUUUGCAGAUGUAUUAGAGUUAGUUUAUUCAUUAUAACCAAAUCCAAAUCCUGUCCAGAUUCUAUCGAGUAACAAGAAAUUAAAACUCUUUUAUGAAAGAUAUUUUCGAACAAGAAAUGGGUAGUGGGGGGGAUUUGGGCACUUCUAGUGCUAAUGAUGCUCAUGAUGUGGAGUUAUAACCAAUUCAUUCAUUAUAACCAAUUUUGUAUUUAAAUUAUUUAAAAUAUAUAUUUACAUUAUUUUAAUUGUCGUAUCCUUGCUGUACUUGUAUCCUAGUUUUUGGACAUUUGUUGUAUCAACAUAUCGUAUCGUUAUACUCGUACCUGUGUCCAGGCAAUGAGUAUUACAGUUAAGUAGCACUGAGUGAAGAUGGCUUAAGAUAAAUAAGUUUUUAUUUUAGAUAAUAAAAACAUGUACUCAUGCUAGAUUCUCUUCUUAGAAAGGCUGAAAUUUUGAAGAUUUAAUGGGAUUCUUUAGGCUUGCCCUGAUUUUCUGGUUCCUUGCUGAAUAUGGUUUUUAUUUUGAACUCCCUUUUCGAGUGAUCUUUUGUUGGGUUGGUAAGUCCCAAUCUUACCAAUGUGUGUACAUGUAGGACCUAUGUAAAAAGUAUUUGAAGACAUUUCCAUGAGAAGUUAGUGUUCUGUUCUGUUUCUAAUGCCCAACUGAAGGGAAAGGAAAUAAUUUUAUAUGUUAUAAUUUGUGUUUGUAGGCCAUUACUAAGAACUAGUGUUUGAGUUGUAUACACGUUCACAUCACUUGAGUUCAGACAUGAACUCUUACAUUUUCCCCUGUGGGACUCUAAAUGGGAUGCUGAUUUUUCAGUUGUGAUAAUGUAUUUGUUAUUUAUAAUGUUUAUAAUCUAACUUUGUUAUUUAGUUUUUAUUAAUCGAAGGCUGGUGUACGAUCUGCAUAUUCUGUAUAUUAUGCAUUUGGUUGCCAUGAAAACAAAACCCUAAAAGAAAAUUUUAUUUCUUAUGUUGCUGAAAAACACUUAGAAAGUGGAAAUUUGUAGCUUCUGAAAAAUAUUAUGUUUUGUGUUUGUUUUAUUUUAAGUUUUGUUGUGUGAUUCUUUGGACGUUUUUGUUGAAAUGUAGCAGAAAGUUUUACAGGCUCUGAGCUAAGCAGAAAAAUGGUAUUAAUGAGGGGAGAGCCACUAGUAACGAAGCUUGCAGUGUUGGCCAAGUACGUGGUUCUUCCUGGAGCCAUGGUCGCCGCCCUCAUCUAUUCACCUCCUGAUUACACUUCUUCCAAGAACGAUCCAAAGUCCACCAAAUAAGAUGUAGCUCGGUCAGUACC
rnacentral:lncRNA from 1 species